UUAUUAUUAUCGGUAGUGUAUAAAUAAUGAUUAAUUACUAUAUCUAAAUAUACAUACAUAUGCAAAUAGAAUGCGUGUACUUAUGUAUGUGUAGGCAUAUUUACCAAAUUCAAAAUUUUAUUAUUGAAAAUUUUUUUUACUUUUUUAAUUUGAUUUGUAAAAAAACAAAAAGAUAAUAAACAUUUUGUUACUAUUUGUACUAAGUAAAGUACAAUAACGGAAUAAAAAAAGUUUUUCAACGGAUUUAUAAAAAAAAAAAAAAAAAAAAAUAAGAAAAAAUAAGAAAAAUAAAGCAAAAUCAACUUCCGAGGUACAAAGAUCUACAGAUGUCAACCAACGUUACUACAAUAAGGAUUUCGAUGAAAUUAUUAUUAUUAUUAUUUAUUUAUUUAUUUAUUUAUUGUUUUUUUUUUUUUUUUUAAUUUGUCGCAUAUAUGGGUUUUUGUUUGAUCAAAUAAUCUAUUGUAAAAACUCAAAAAGUGACAGAAGAAUACAAAACGAAAGUUUUCGCAAGAGGUUUUGUUAAAUGCUUUAAAACGAUAACAAUCAUUUCGUUUCUGAUGUGUGACUGACUACGAUGGCUUAAGUAAUUUCCUUUUGUGACAAACACUUUUCAUGCAACAUGUUUUCAAAUUUUCAAAUCAAACCUCAUCAUAUUCGAGUAUAGAUGCGGGAAGAAUAUUUAAUAGAAAUCUGAUUAAAAAGUCGUUUUCAAAUAAUGAUCAGCACAACGAUAAGAAUUGAUCAUUAAAAUGAAUUAGCACCGUUACGAUAUCUGGUCAACUUGAACUAAUUAAUGUGAACUUAGCAUUUGCCGUACGGUAUACAGGCGACGGUACAAAGCGACAUCCAAGCGGCAUCCAAAAUAUUCAUCGCUAUAUAAGCACCCAUUAACUGGAAGGGCCUGCAUCCGAUAUUGCAAUUUUUUGAGCAAAAAAAUUCUAUUUCGCUGCGUCUUUACAUUUAAAAAAAAAUAAAAAAGUAAGAAAAGUUUGAUUGACAUGAAGAAUAUGAAUGAAUGUGUGAGCUGGGAAUGUGUAAGACGUAAAGUAAGUUUUAAGAAGAUUUGAAAACAACUUUUAAAAAACUUUUCAAAUGAUCUGCCGUAGUCAGUGGCUUUAAUUAUCAGAUGUUUUGCAAGCUUCUUACUGUCACCGCUUAUGAUUAUGAAACCGAAAGAUAACACGACAGUUAAAAAGUAAAGAAAUGUUAAAACAAAAAUACGAAAAGUAUGGAUUCAGAGCGAAA